AUCAGUUGCUCCCUCUGUUGAGUCAUCAAGGUAUGGAUGUAAAUAUGUAAGAGGCUUAAAGAGUACAAUGACUCUUGCCUUGUUAUAAUGUGACCAUAUGUGGCCAAUUAUAUUUCCUCUGUUUUUAAUAAUGUGGUUGUUUAUUUACUAGUCCACAUUUUUCUCUGAUCAUUAAUUUUUAUAGGCUUUCAUCUUUUGAAUCACCCUCACGUGGUAUGUUAACAGCAGCGCUUGCUUGCCACCACAUAUUUUAAGCUUCUAAACAGAACACGAAAUUGUGUUGUUCCCAUGGAAACCUCAAACAUUGCAGAACCACAGCUUUGAAUCUGCAACUCCUAUUGUAUGUAGCAUAAAUAAAAUUGGCUCAAAAUUCAGACUGCAUUGUGGGAAAGCAUGGAGUGAUAUUUCUGUUCUAAUCUCCAGUACCCGCACCAAGGACUAAAGUCUGUGAUCAUCAAUGGAUUUUUACAUAAGCCGAAGAAAAAUGUUGUUAAUGCCCUGUUAUUCCAGUUAAGCUCGAAUCUGUAAGCAAUCCGCAAGUUCUGUUUACUCUACUUCAAAAAUAGAUCUGACACAUCCA